rnacentral:rRNA from 1 species
AAUAUUGUACAAUGGGGGAAACCCUGAUGCAGCGACGCCGCGUGAGCGAAGAAGGCCUUCGGGUCGUAAAGCCCUGUCCUAAGGGAAGAAACGGACGGUACCCUAGGAGGAAGCCCCGACUAACUACGUUCCAGCAGCCGCGGUAAUACGUAGGGGGAGAGCGUUAUCCGGAAGUACUGGCCGUAAAGGGUGCGUAGGCGGCCUUUUCAGUCAGAUGUGAAAGGCUACGGCUUAACCGUAGUUAGCAUUUGAAACUAGAAGGCUUGAGUGCAGGAGAGGAGAGUGGAAUUCCUAGUGUAGCGGUGAAAUGCGUAGAUAUUAGGAGGAACACCAGUGGCGAAGGCGACUCUCUGGACUGCAACUGACGCUGAGGCACGAAAGCGUGGGGAGCAAAC